rnacentral:rRNA from 1 species
AUUGAACGCUGGCGGCAGGCCUAACACAUGCAAGUCGAACGAGUGGCGGACGGGUGAGUAAUGUCUGGGAAACUGCCCGAUGGAGGGGGAUAACUACUGGAAACGGUAGCUAAUACCGCAUACCAUCGGAUUGGCCCAGAUGGGAGUAGCUAGUAGGUGGGGUAACGGCUCACCUAGGCGACGAUCUCUAGCUGUGCUGAGAGGAUGACCAGCCACACUGGAACUGAGACACGGUCCAGACUCCUACGGAAGGCAGCAGUGGGGAAUAUUGCACAAUAGGCGCAAGCCUGAUGCAGCCAUGCCGCGUGUAUGAAGAAGGCCUUCGGGUUGUAAAGUACUUUCAGCGAGGAGGCGUUACUCGCAGAAGAAGCACCGGCUAACUCCGUGCCAGCAGCCGCGGUAAUUC